CUCUACCGCUAUGAAACAAAACAUCAAAAUAAACUGCACUUCGAAUCAGAUUUUAAACUGCUAUAUCAGAAGGAUCUUAUAGGAAUAAACAAAUUUUGGACAAGUGGCAAACAUUUCAUAUUACCUGAAAACAAGUGUGCAAUGUGUGCUCUCAAUGCUGAUAAUGAUGACAUAGAAGCAGAGUCCAGCAGUCCACAUAACUGCCAUGAAGACUGUUACGGAUGAUUGCAGAGGCUGACAAGUCUGGAAUCCAGAAGGCUGAAGGCCAAAGAGCUGACAUUGAAGUAUUGAGGAGAAUUCCUUCUUCUUUGGGAAACCUCAUUCAUUUCUCUCAAAGGCUUCAACUCUUUGGAUACAGCCCACCCACAUUA